CCUACGGGUGGCAGCAGUGAGGAAUAUUGGUCAAUGGACGAGAGUCUGAACCAGCCAAGUAGCGUGAAGGAUGACUGCCCUAUGGGUUGUAAGCUUCUUUUGUAAGGGAGUAAAACGAGGCACGUGUGCCUUUUUGCAUGUACUUUAUGAAUAAGGAUCGGCUAACUCCGUGCCAGCAGCCGCGGUAAUACGGAGGAUCCGAGCGUUAUCCGGAUUUAUUGGGUGUAAAGGGAGCGUAGAUGGGUUGGUAAGUCUGUUGUGAAAGUUUGCGGCUCAACCGUAAAAUUGCAAUUGAUACUGGCAGUCUGGAGUACAGGUGAGGUAGGCGGAAUUCGUGGUGUAGCGGUGAAAUGCGUAGAUAUCACGAAGAACCCCGAUGGCGAAGGCAGCUUACUAAACUGUGACUGACAUUGAGGCUCGAAAGCGUGGGGAUCAAACAGGAUUAGAUACCCGUGUAGUC
rnacentral:rRNA from 1 species